rnacentral:rRNA from 1 species
GACGAACGCUGGCGGCGUGCUUAACACAUGCAAGUCGAGCGGUAAGGCCCUUUCGGGGGUACACGAGCGGCGAACGGGUGAGUAACACGUGGGUGACCUGCCCUCAGCUCUGGGAUAAGCCCGGGAAACUGGGUCUAAUACCGGAUAUGACUUCAUGACGCAUGUUGUGGAGUGGAAAGCCUUGUGCGGCUGAGGAUGGGCCCGCGGCCUAUCAGCUUGUUGGUGGGGUGAUGGCCUACCAAGGCGACGACGGGUAGCCGGCCUGAGAGGGCGACCGGCCACACUGGGACUGAGAUACGGCCCAGACUCCUACGGGAGGCAGCAGUGGGGAAUCUUGCGCAAUGGGCGAAAGCCUGACGCAGCGACGCCGCGUGAGGGAUGACGG